CUUUUUCAGAAUCCUAAGCAAGGACAGUCACUGGAGAUGUUCUAACACUUGAUGCACAUACAAAGAUUCUUCAAACAAGGUCCAGCGUCACCCCGUUCAUCCUCAGGGAACGAAUGCAGCCCAGGAAGCCUCGCUGGCCUCCUGCAGCACCUGAGAGGGAAUGUUGGACUUGCUGCAGCUGCCAGAGAGUCCCUGAGGAGAUCUGAAUGUUCAUCACCACAGGGCACAGAGGAUGAUAUUUACCCAAGUGGGGAAGAGGACUAACUACAAACUAGAGUGGGCUGCUUCAAACCAAGUACUGGUAACUGGAUGAUUUGGAGUAGGAGCAGUCAAGGCUUGGCCUCUGCUGAGUGCUCAUGGCAGAGGGUGUUCCGGUGUGAUUCCAUUCUAUGUAAACUCAUAUACACUGCAGUGAUGAAAAACCUUCUUUCACCUCUUAGUGACUCCCCUAGGACACAAAGUCAUCACCCCUCAGUCCCUCUCGCUCACCCAAAGAAUAGAUAUUUAUUCUACAGAAAAUGGAAAAGGAGGCACGGAAACAAUUCUUGUUCAGCAUUACUCUCCAGGGCCCCAAUAUCUAGGCAUUCAUUUUGGGCACUCCAUAGUUUAAAGCUGUUCUCUGACACAUGUGGUCC